AUCCCAUGGUGAGGACACACUAGGAUGUACUCUUGAAGCCGUUCCCAUGCUUCAGUUAUUGACUCAUUUGACGCCGGCUGAAAUCCAGAAAUUCUUCCUCGGAAAGC